AGUCCUGUAGCUCAGUGGUUAGAGCACUUGUCUCAAAAGCAAGAGACCUGGGUUUGAUUCCCAAGCAGGACGA
rnacentral:tRNA from 1 species